rnacentral:rRNA from 1 species
GGACUACUGGGGUAUCUAAUCCUGUUCGCUCCCCACGCUUUCGCGCCUUAGCGUCAGUACCGUCCCAGCGAGCUGCCUUCGCUAUUGGUGUUCCUCCUGAUAUCUGCGCAUUCCACCGCUACACCAGGAAUUCCACUCGCCUCUUCCGGACUCUAGCCUCACAGUAUCCAUCGGCUUUCAAAGGUUGAGCCUUUGACUUUCACAACGGACUUAUGAGGCCGCCUACGCGCGCUUUACGCCCAAUGAUUCCGGACAACGCUUGCUCCCUACGUAUUACCGCGGCUGCUGGCAC